CCUACGGGGGGCAGCAGUGGGGAAUAUUGUGCAAUGGGCGAAAGCCUGACGCAGCGACGCCGCGUGAGGGAUGAAGGUCUUCGGAUCGUAAACCUCUGUCAGCAGGGAAGAACGGUCACUGUGCUAAUCAGCAGUGAAUUGACGGUACCUGCAAAGGAAGCACCGGCUAACUCCGUGCCAGCAGCCGCGGUAAUACGGAGGGUGCGAGCGUUAAUCGGAAUUACUGGGCGUAAAGCGCGCGUAGGCGGUAUGUCAAGUCAAGGGUGAAAUCCCCGCGCUCAACGUGGGAACUGCCUUUGAAACUGGCAAACUGGAGUGUGUGAGAGGAUAGUGGAAUUCCAGGUGUAGGAGUGAAAGCCGUAGAUAUCUGGAGGAACAUCAGUGGCGAAGGCGACUAUCUGGCACAUAACUGACGCUGAGGAGCGAAAGCGUGGGUAGCAAACAGGAUUAGAUACCCUAGUAGUC
rnacentral:rRNA from 1 species